GCUUUUAUUUUCUCUCUCUGUCUCUCCUUUGGAAAUACUUCUUCCACUUAUGCUUUCUUGAUAUUUAUGCAUAUCGAAGCACUCAAUAAAUACAGUAGGCUAGUUACUACACUACAAGCUGUGCAAAUCAUUGAUAGAAGCCUCCUACCGUCAGCUCAGUGUUUGGAUGUUACCUCAUCGCAUCUCAUCUGCAUAUAUACCUGCUUCUUAAAGGACAAUUUCAACAGUUCCUGAACUCGGCCUGUCUUAGAUUAUGUGGAUGGACAGUUUGACUUUUUCAUAUUCAAGAACAAUUUAGUUCAGUUCUUUGUUAAUAAUCAAUCAUCUGAGAUGGUUGUUUUGUAUGUUGUUUUUUAUUAAGUUGGCAAAAAAUGAAAUAAAAUAACCAGCAAAAACAACAACAACAAAACCUUCAAUUUGGAGGAAUUCAAUUUUUAUCUCACUUUAGUCUGAUUUUUUGUUCAACUAUUUUUAUUAAAUUAACAUAAAAUUUCAUGCUCCUUUGUAAUAUUUUUUGAACAAUAUAUCCAAGUGUAACUGAUUGUCUUCUUCCAUAUUUUUUGAUAAAUGUUUUCAAAUUAUUUGCAUAUCUUGUCUUGAAAGAACUGGCUCUCAUCUGUAGCCAACGACCUUUCAAACACUGACUGUAAAUCAUUCACAUCAUUGUUUAUUAAUUACCAAUUAAACAAGAAAUAUUAUCUUUAUUCUUUUUACAUCUAUAAAGACAUUUUAAUUAAUGCUCAGAACCAAAAUUUGCUUCAUAGAAAGAAAAUAACAGUAGACUCUUUUUCAUACAAUUUUACAUAAGAAAUACAAUUCAGAGAUUUAUGAACAUAUAUUCUCAAAAAAAAAAGAAAGCAAAUAUUUUUCAAAUUCUUCUGGGUGUUUCAGCUAACACAAUAAAAUUUGUUACACCAUUAUUUAAAAACUUCUCAAUGGAGGAUUUUUGAAAAUGUUUAUUUGAUAAAAAAAAAAAGAUAAAAGUACAAAACAAAACAAUGCAA